rnacentral:siRNA from 1 species
GAAUAGGCUUCAGUAACAGGGA